AACGUGCUCCGGGGUCGGUGGGAAUCCGAACCGGCGGUGAAAGUCCGCGAGCCGUGAUGCGACCACCUGGUGGGAGCGGAGCGGUUGAGCCGGUGAAACUCCGGCACCGACGGUUAAAGUCCGGAUGGGAGGAUGCACGCG
rnacentral:ncRNA from 2 species